AGUCAUCAACUUGCCCCGUUUCUGACUGAAAUGGGUGCGUGUUGGAAGUGGGGGCCUGCUGCCGCGUGGCCGCUCCCCUCAAAUGCAUCGGUUGGGCCUGUGGGUCGAACUCGACUGGGCGUUGUACAAUCCUCGCUCCGACCGAGAUGUUCCCCUUUGUGUGCUCCAACUUGGACCUGCCUAUCGGAGUGGCGGUCAAGCUUUUUUGAAAU
rnacentral:misc_RNA from 1 species